rnacentral:tRNA from 1 species
GGGCCGGUAGCUCAGUGGUCAGAGCACGGGACUCAUAAUCCCUUGGUCGCAGGUUCGAUCCCUGCCCGGCCCA